AACGGCCGUACCAUGCUGAAUAUACCGGUUCUCGUUAGAUCACCGAAGUUAAGCAUCAUUGGGCGCGGUCAGUACUUGGGUGGGUGACCACCAGGGAACACUGCGUGCCGUU
rnacentral:rRNA from 1 species